GUCGAUGUGGUGGAAUUGGAAGACACGCUAGACUUAGGAUCUAGUACUUAGGUGUGCAGGUUCGAAUCCUGUCAUCGGCA
rnacentral:tRNA from 1 species